UUAGGCAUGUCCACCGAUGAGGUCUUGGUUAACAAAGAUAACUUCAGGUUGAAAAGGAAGAAACAAGUAAAGAGUAAGGAAAAAAAAAGAGUAAGAAAAAGAUAAGGCAAAAGAUGAGCCGAGUGGUAUGGACCAGUUGGACGUUGUUACACAACUGAUGACACUUUCCUUUCAAACAUCGAGACUUCCAAGUAACAGGCUGUUAGGACUUAUAAAAUUCUUCAUCAUGUUUCUCGCACUUUUCCCCUAAUGUUUUUAUCUACGAGGACGGGUGUUGGAGGGAUUGUCAAGAGAAUCAGUUCAAGUAUAGACAAUCAGUUAGACGAGCCCUCAUAAUAGACUAGAUUGACAUUCAACGAAGGAUCGGUAAGACUCCACCUCAUUCGGAGUGUAGCUGAAUCUAUGAGUCAUCGCGUCAGAAGUUUGCUACAGACUUAUGGGUAGGUCGGUAUCCUGUCCUAUUUGAUGUCAAAUAAACUUAAAGGCUUUGUA